rnacentral:rRNA from 1 species
GCAAGUCGAACGGUAGGAUGUGCUCGCACUUCUGAGAGUGGCGAACGGGUGAGUAACACGUAGAUGAUCUACCUUUUAGUUGGGGAUAGCCCAUGGAAACAUGGAGUAAUACCGAAUAAUCUCUUUUUGCUUUGGCUUUAAGAGGAAAGAAGCGUUUGCUUCGCUGAAAGAUGAGUCUGCGGACUAUUAGCUAGUUGGUAGGGUAAGAGCCUACCAAGGCAACGAUAGUUAGCCGGCCUGAGAGGGUGAUC